rnacentral:rRNA from 1 species
GCGCACCAAGGCGCGAAAACUUCGACAAGUGUGCGAAAGCACGAUGAGGGAAUCCCAAGUGCUUGCUCGUAAGAGUAAGCUGUUUCUCUGUCUAAAACGCAGAGAGAGUAAGGGCUGGGUAAGACGGGUGCCAGCCGCCGCGGUAAUACCUGCAGCUCGAGUGGUGGCCGCUAUUAUUGGGCCUAAAACGUCCGUAGCCGGUUUAUUAAAUGCCUGGGUAAAUCGGACCGCUUAACGGUUCGAAUUCCGGGUAGACUGAUAAACUUGAGACCGGGAGAAGCUAGAGGUACUCCUGGGGUAGAGGUGAAAAUUCUGUAAUCCUAGGGGGACCACCAGUGGCGAAGGCGUCUAGCUAGAACGGGUCUGACGGUGAGGGACGAAGCCCUGGGGCGCAAACGGGGAUUAGAUACCCGCGUAGU